UACGGGGGGGGCGAGCGUUGUUCGGAAUUACUGGGCGUAAAGGGUGCGUAGGCGGCUUUCUAAGUCGGAUGUGUAAACUCUGGGCUCAACCCAGAGCCUGCAUCUGAAACUGGAGAGCUAGGGUUUUGGAGGGGAAAGCGGAAUUCCAGGUGUAGCGGUGAAAUGCGUAGAUAUCGUUUGGAACGCCAAUGGUGAAAACAGGUUGCUGGGAGUGCGCUGACGCUGAGACACGAAAGCCAGGGGAGCGAACGGG
rnacentral:rRNA from 1 species